AUGGUAAUAUACGGGGGUUAUAACGUUAUUAAUAUAACAACGAUCAUUAUUAGCGCUUCCACGCCCGGCGUGAAGCAGGCGCACUCGAAACAAUGUGACUACGCGAUGAAGGAGACCCCCCAUGCAGGUCAGCAGAAGGCAGUUCUUUAAG
rnacentral:sRNA from 1 species